CGAUGGGAGCUUGCUCCCAGGCGUCGAGCGGCGGACGGGUGAGUAAUACUUAGGAAUCUACCUAGUAGUGGGGGAUAGCUCGGGGAAACUCGAAUUAAUACCGCAUACGUCCUACGGGAGAAAGCAGGGGAUCAUUAGACCUUGCGCUAUUAGAUGAGCCUAAGUCGGAUUAGCUAGAUGGUGGGGUAAAGGCCUACCAUGGCGACGAUCUGUAGCUGGUCUGAGAGGAUGAUCAGCCACACCGGGACUGAGACACGGCCCGGACUCCUACGGGAGGCAGCAGUGGGGAAUAUUGGACAAUGGGGGGAACCCUGAUCCAGCCAUGCCGCGUGUGUGAAGAAGGCCUUUUGGUUGUAAAGCACUUUAAGCAGUGAAGAAGACUCUUCGGUUAAUACCCGGGGACGAUGACAUUAGCUGCAGAAUAAGCACCGGCUAACUCUGUGCCAGCAGCCGCGGUAAUACAGAGGGUGCAAGCGUUAAUCGGAAUUACUGGGCGUAAAGCGAGCGUAGGUGGCUUGAUAAGUCAGAUGUGAAAUCCCCGGGCUUAACCUGGGAACUGCAUCUGAAACUGUUAGGCUAGAGUAGGUGAGAGGGAAGUAUA
rnacentral:rRNA from 1 species